GACGGGUAGGGGACGUGAGAGCGUGGCCCCCACACUGGCACUGAGACACGGGCCAGACUCCUACGGGAGGCAGAGUGAGGAAUAUGCCCAAUGGACGCAAGUCUGAGGCAGCAACGCCGCGUGGAUGAUGAAGCUCGGGUCGUAAAAUCCUUUCUGGGGGAAGAGGAAGGACGGUACCUCAGGAAUAAGUCUCGGCUAACUAUGUGCCAGCAGCCGCGGUAAGACAUAGGAGGCAAGCGUUAUCCGGAUUUACUGGGCGUAAAGGGCGUUGAGGCGGUCUUGUAAGUUGGACGUGAAAGCUCCUGGCUCAACUAGGAGAGGCCGUUCAAUACUGCGAGACUUGAGGACAGCAGAGGGGGGUGGAAUUCCCGGUGUAGUGGUGAAAUGCGUAGAGAUCGGGAGGAACACCAGUGGCGAAGGCGGCCCCCUGGGCUGCUCCUGACGCUGAAUGCGAAAGCUAGGGUAGCAAACGGGAUUAGAAACCCCGGUAGUCCUAGCCGUAAACGAUGGAUACUAGGUGUGGGGGGGUUAGAUACCCUCUGUGCCGGAGCUAACGCGGUAAGUAUCCCGCCUGGGGACUACGGUCGCAAGGCUAAGACUCAAAGGAAUUGACGGGGGCCCGCACAAGCAGCGGAGCGUGUGGUUUAAUUCGAUGCAACGCGAAGAACCUUACCAGGGCUUGACAUGCAAGUAGUAGUGAAGCGAAAGCGGAACGAUCCUUCGGGAAGCUUGCACAGGUGCUGCAUGGCUGUCGUCAGCUCGUGCCGUGAGGUGUUAGGUUAAGUCCUGUAACGAGCGCAACCCUUGCCGUUAGUUACAAGUGUCUAACGGGACUGCCCGGCUCAACUGGGAGGAAGGUGGGGAUGACGUCAAGUCAGCAUGGCCUUUAUGUCCUGGGCUACACACACGCUACAAUGGCCGGUACAAUGGGUAGCCAAGCCGUGAGGCGGAGCCAAUCCUGUAAAGCCGGUCUCAGUUCGGAUUGCAGGCUGCAACUCGCCUGCAUGAAGUCGGAGUUGCUAGUAACCGCAGGUCAGCCACACUGCGGUGAUACGUUCCCGGGCAUUGUACACACCGCCCGUCACGUCAUGGGAGCUGGUAACACCUGAAGCCGGUGAGCUAACCGUC
rnacentral:rRNA from 1 species